GUGAGGUAAAACGGACUCAACGGCUCGCUCGGUGGGGGAACUUGGAAACUUCAAGAAGAAAAGCGUCUUUAAACUCUGUUUUACUGAAGAGGAGCAGUUUUAUUUACGCAGUAACGACAAAGAGUUGCAGCAGAGCAGAGUCCACACAGCUGUAGUUCACACAGGGAGCAGCUCCAACUCUUCUGCAUGUAUGAGGAGCAGCUUGCGUGUGUAUUUUGCCAGACUUCUAGAAAACACAGGAAGCACAGCGUCCCAACUUUUUCGGAAAUGGGGUUGUCUUUUAACUGUGCAGCAGUUUCACACUUGUCUUAGAGUGUAAGUCUAAAGGCUUUAGUGGUGAUGGAGGUGUGCUUGCUUGUGUGUGUGCUAUUUGGUGGAUGUCGCUCUGAACCGGAAUGGGCUGGUGGAGGCUGGAGGUCUGACGUUACUCAAUACUGUCACUUUUGGUCUCCUCAUCCUGAAACAACAACAACAACAACUGUGUCAGUAACUUCUAUGUGACCAGUAAAGAGAAGUACAGUUCAUAUACAGUUGAAUAAUGCUUGUGUAAAGAUUUGCAUACUAAAGCUGCAUACUGAAUUCUGAAUGUUUAAGAAUUUUAAUACAAUGUUUAACAAGCAACAAAUCUUUUUGAUAGUCAAGCUUAUUAUAAUGGUAUGUAUAUCGAAAAGCUCCUCGAAAAGUUUCCACAAUAUUGUCCAGCAAACAAG